GGUAGGAGGUGGGUGUAGUAGUAUGUUAUCUUCUUUCUGUAUGGGCUCUUCUUGUGGGACACAGUGUCAUUCUCCUUCCCUAAAUGUUAAUCUCACUGGAGCAAAGGCCAAAUAAUCAGCAUAAAAUCUCAGCAAAUGAAAGAUCUGUUUGAGGUGGAACAGAAAUUUCUAAGCAACACUGAAGCUUUAUUGAGGAAAUUUCUACCAGAAAUAAACUGUGGUUUGCACACUGCUUGUGAUCAUUUACUGAAAGUUUGUAUUGCAGCAUGUGAUAUGGUUCUCAUCUUCUCUCAGAAUGGAUUAUGAGUAGCCAGCAAAUGUGAAAGUUUAGAUUUGAAGAUAAAAGCUAUAAUCUGAAAUUCAUAGGUGUAAGUUAGGUAAAGGAUUAUGUAUGUUUGGUAAUAUGAGUAUUAACAUAAUGGUUCUUCUAAGUAUUUUUUCUAAGCAAUUGCACAAUGAAAGUUUAAGUAAUAAGACGAGCAUGACUAAGUGCAAUGAGUUGGUCUACUAAGCUAAACUGCAUCUCAAUCAGAGUCCUACAAGUAAAUGAAAAGAAAGGAGGAGAAAUGGGUUUUCUCAGACAAAGUGGAAAGAAAGGAAAAUGGAAGAAUCAUAUGAUUUUUCUGGAAUAUAUGUAUACUCACACUUUUUUAUAGAACUUGUUUUUAAAGGAAAUAUAGGGCAAUUUGGGUUGUUCUGCCUCUCCAAAGUACUAUUGUGAAAAGUAACUUAGGCUUUGCACUGGAUUUAUGCUGUGUUAGAUUCAGCAAUUUUAUGCAGUAAUAACAACUUUCCCUGUCAUUGUAUUUCAGUAGUAUGCUACACAUCCAAGCAUUAUAUUACUUGUUCUGUCUAUUACUUAUAUUACUUGUUCUGUCAAUCCACUAAGCCAGUUGUUCAAAGAUAAACUUAUUUCAAAAGAAAUCUGGAUAAUCUUCUCUGUUUGGCAUCUAUGAGAAGUGAGUAAAUGCUAUGUUCAAAUUAGAAGCAAUUACAUUCUCUAUUUCUGUCUUUACCCUUGA